CCUUCCCAAUAUCUUGUAUUAAAAUCAAAUCCUUAUAAACCAUAACCAUCAAGGUAUUAGUUUAUCAAGUUGAUAGUUCCUGUCAGUUGGACCAAAUAAUUUGAGAUCGAAUCUUGUCUUCAUUAAAAUUUUAGAGGGUAGAGAUUUCGGGAGAGUCCUGCCCGCACCAUAUAGCUUGAUUGUGUACAUCAUUUCUACGGCCU
rnacentral:lncRNA from 1 species